CACGGAGUUAGCCGGGGCUUAUUCUCCCGGUACAGUCAUUAUCUUCCCGGGUAAAGAGCUUUACAACCCGAAGGCCUUCUUCACUCACGCGGCAUUGCUGGAUCAGGCUUUCGCCCAUUGUCCAAUAUUCCCCACUGCUGCCUCCCGUAGGAGUCUGGGCCGUGUCUCAGUCCCAGUGUGGCUGAUCAUCCUCUCAGACCAGCUAUGGAUCGUAGCCUUGGUAGGCCUUUACCCCACCAACUAGCUAAUCCAACGCGGGCUCAUCCCUAGGCGAUAAAUCUUUGGUCUUGCGACAUCAUACGGUAUUAGCACAAGUUUCCCUGAGUUAUUCCGUACCUAAGGGCAGAUUCCCACGCGUUACGCACCCGUGCGCCACUAGACCCGAAGGUCUCGUUCGACUUGCAUGUGUUAGGCAUGCCGCCAGCGUUCGUUCUGAGCCAGGAUCAAACUCU
rnacentral:rRNA from 1 species